rnacentral:tRNA from 1 species
GCGAAAGUGGCGGAACUGGUAGACGCACCAGACUUAGGAUCUGGCGGCCAUGCCGUGGGGGUUCGAGUCCCCCCUUUCGCACCA